UAAAAAUGUAUAUUUGGAAAGGGAACAAAAAAAGGAAUGGAAAAAUUUCAAGGUGAAACUAGUCGUCAUAGCUGGACUUUUCUGAUGCUGAGCUUGACCAUUUUUCAACUGCUGCUUUUGAUAAAAGACAUAAUCAUCUGGGAAAUAUAAAUGCAGUUUCUGGAGAGAGCUGAGUCCUUCUGAGAAUGAUUGCCUGGGUAAAACAAUGAAAAACUCCUUGUAUUAUAAUGGAAUUAUUCCAGGCUUUGGAAAAUGGGACCAUUGCUGGACCAGCAUUCCUAGGAAUCUCAAGGAUACUCUAAUCAGUUAUUAAAAAUGUCAACUUAUAAGAUUGGGAAUUUCAGCAUGGA